rnacentral:lncRNA from 1 species
CAUGCCUUAUUAAAUAUAGCACCCCAUUUAAUUAUGGCGUUAAGAAGGAGUCCUUCCUAAUUACUCCUCUUAACUUUCUUCUUAUCUUCCCACGCCAUCUCUUAAAAUGACAUGUCAAUAUUUAUAGAAAUUUAUGGGUGCAGAAGAGGAGAGUCCUUCUAUGUGAAGGAUCUUCUAUACCAUAAAUUAUCAUAUGGUGAAUUAAAUCACUGUGUGAAGAAAAGGAGGCACC